AUACUUUUAAAAAAUAUUCCCAGAAAAAAACACCAUUAUAAAUAGAUAUUCCAACUCUUCAUUUCCGUUCCAGGUGGUGUACGGGCUGAACACUCGCGGAGAAGAAUUGGAAUCGCAAUUAGCAUCGGUUCGCGAGGCGGAAGAGAACCUGAAAUCGGCGAACGCGGAGUUGCAACACCGCGCCACACACUAUAAACUCAAAUAUGACUCGGAGAUUGGGAAACUGCGAGAUAUGGAGCAGCAAGUGACCCAAGCGCAGUAUUGGAAAAUGGAAUGCGAGAAUCUCAAAAGAAGACUGGACCUCGAG